rnacentral:rRNA from 1 species
UUUUGUAGAAUGAACCGGCGAGUUACGAUUUGAUGCAAGGUUAAGCAGUAAAUGUGGAGCCGUAGCGAAAGCGAGUCUGAAUAGGGCGUUUAGUAUUUGGUCGUAGACCCGAAACCAGGUGAUCUACCCUUGGUCAGGUUGAAGUUCAGGUAACACUGAAUGGAGGACCGAACCGACUUACGUUGAAAAGUGAGCGGAUGAACUGAGGGUAGCGGAGAAAUUCCAAUCGAACCUGGAGAUAGCUGGUUCUCUCCGAAAUAGCUUUAGGGCUAGCCUCAAGUGAUGAUUAUUGGAGGUAGAGCACUGUUUGGACGAGGGGCCCCUCUCGGGUUACCGAAUUCAGACAAACUCCGAAUGCCAAUUAAUUUAACUUGGGAGUCAGAACAUGGGUGAUAAGGUCCGUGUUCGAAAGGGAAACAGCCCAGACCACCAGCUAAGGUCCCAAAAUAUAUGUUAAGUGGAAAAGGAUGUGGCGUUGCCCAGACAACUAGGAUGUUGGCUUAGAAGCAGCCAUCAUUUAAAGAGUGCGUAAUAGCUCACUAGUCGAGUGACACUGCGCCGAAAAUGUACCGGGGCUAAACAUAUUACCGAAGCUGUGGAUUGUCCUUUGGACAAUGGUAGGAGAGCGUUCUAAGGGCGUUGAAGCAUGAUCGUAAGGACAUGUGGAGCGCUUAGAAGUGAGAAUGCCGGUGUGAGUAGCGAAAGACGGGUGAGAAUCCCGUCCACCGAUUGACUAAGGUUUCCAGAGGAAGGCUCGUCCGCUCUGGGUUAGUCGGGUCCUAAGCUGAGGCCGACAGGCGUAGGCGAUGGAUAACAGGUUGAUAUUCCUGUACCACCUAUAAUCGUUUUAAUCGAUGGGGGGACGCAGUAGGAUAGGCGAAGCGUGCGAUUGGAUUGCACGUCUAAGCAGUAAGGCUGAGUAUUAGGCAAAUCCGGUACUCGUUAAGGCUGAGCUGUGAUGGGGAGAAGACAUUGUGUCUUCGAGUCGUUGAUUUCACACUGCCGAGAAAAGCCUCUAGAUAGAAAAUAGGUGCCCGUACCGCAAACCGACACAGGUAGUCAAGAUGAGAAUUCUAAGGUGAGCGAGCGAACUCUCGUUAAGGAACUCGGCAAAAUGACCCCGUAACUUCGGGAGAAGGGGUGCUCUUUAGGGUUAACGCCCAGAAGAGCCGCAGUGAAUAGGCCCAAGCGACUGUUUAUCAAAAACACAGGUCUCUGCUAAACCGUAAGGUGAUGUAUAGGGGCUGACGCCUGCCCGGUGCUGGAAGGUUAAGAGGAGUGGUUAGCUUCUGCGAAGCUACGAAUCGAAGCCCCAGUAAACGGCGGCCGUAACUAUAACGGUCCUAAGGUAGCGAAAUUCCUUGUCGGGUAAGUUCCGACCCGCACGAAAGGCGUAACGAUUUGGGCACUGUCUCAACGAGAGACUCGGUGAAAUCAUAGUACCUGUGAAGAUGCAGGUUACCCGCGACAGGACGGAAAGACCCCGUGGAGCUUUACUGUAGCCUGAUAUUGAAAUUCGGCACAGCUUGUACAGGAUAGGUAGGAGCCUUUGAAACGUGAGCGCUAGCUUACGUGGAGGCGCUGGUGGG